rnacentral:rRNA from 1 species
UACGUAGGGGGCAAGCGUUGGUCCGGAAUUAUUGGGCGUAAAGGGCUCGUAGGCGGUUCGUCACGUCGGGAGUGAAAACUCGGAGCUCAACGUCCGAGCCUCGCUUCCGAUACGGGCAGACUAGAGGUAGGCAGGGGAGAGCGGAACUCCUGGUGUAGCGGUGGAAUGCGUAGAUAUCAGGAGGAACACCGGUGGCGAAAGCGCUCGUCUGGCCCAAUACUGACGUGAUGCGGCGAAAGCUAGGGGGAGCAAACGGG